GGGACCAGAUAUUAAUAGUAUAGUAAGCAAAUAUUGUAUGAAUUGGCUAUUACGUUGGCUAUAGAUGAUUUGGAGCUAGUAGUGGGCUAUACUAUUAAACUUGCUGUAAUGAUGCAAAAUAUAGUUUAACAAAUGCUUUUAUUAAUCAUUCAUCAUGUGACAUAUCUAAGGAUUCAUUCAUAAUCAACGGAAUGAGGUCGAUCCGACGGCUCCGAUCGAUAUCAAAUCGCACACCUCCCUCCUCCCCACCAGUAUCGUGCAAAACACGUCCCCAUCCAACUCGCGGCGCAGAUCGCGCACUCUCUCCCUCUCGAUCAGAUCGCGCGAAGCAUUAUCCGAGGGCUAUCUGCCUUGAAGGCCGGGAGGAUUUGGAGGGUUGGCAAUGGGAGCAGUAUAGAUAUAUGGGAGGAUCCUUGGAUCCCUGCUGGAGUCACCCGAAGACCGAUAACUCCUCGAAGAGGCACUGUGCUGAACAAGGUAGCUGAUCUUAUUGACCCAGCUACGGGCUGGUGGGAUAAACCACUAGUGGAGGAGAUUUUUUGGGAGUCUGAUGCCAGGAACAUUCUGGCCAUCCCGGUGAGAUUAGACACAAAUGAUUUUGUAGCCUGGCAUUUUGAUACAAGAGGAAUGUACUCGGUCAAAUCUGCGUACCAUGUCCUGGAAGAUCAAAGGGAGAGAUCGGCGAAGAAGCAAGAGGGCGGUUCAUCCUCUGGAGCGGUGAACCAGCGGAAUUUCGAGUGGGAUAAAAUCUGGAGUUUGCAAUGCAUUCCUAAAGUCAAACAGUUUAUCUGGCGGCUUGCCCAUAACAGCCUCCCCCUGAAACUCAACAUCAAAAGGAGAGUACCAGACGCUGAAACUCUAUGCCCGGUCUGCAAAAGGUUUGAUGAGAAUGGUGGACACUGCUUCCUGCAAUGCAAGCCCAUGAAACUCUGCUGGAGAAUUUUAUGCCUUGAAGAUAUCCGUUUAAGCUUGACUCAGCUUGUUUCUGCUAGAGAUGUGGUUCAGACCAUUUUGAAGCUGGAGAAUGAUCGAAGAAUGGAGGUCUUCUUUCUUUUGUGGGUUUGGUGGUAUGCACGCAACAAGGUGAACUCGGGGGAGGACGUAAUCAGAGUGGAAGAAGUGGUCCACAAGGUGAAACAGCUGAUCUGUGAUCAUGCCUCUCUGCGCAAAGGAAAACAUCCCAAGGUGAAUGUGCAAAGAAAUAAGUGGGUUCCCCCUGUAGAUGGUAAUCUGAAGCUCAACUUUGAUGGAGCCUUCCGAGCUGUAAACAAGUCUGGUGGUUAUGAUUUCCUGGUUCGUGACCACCGUGGAUGUGCUGUUCUUGCGGGUGCCGGCUGCCUGGAACAUGUACAUGAUGCUUUUGCAGCUGAAGCUGAAGCUGGUUUAGCAGGCCUAAAAUCUGCUAUUUCGCAUGGUAUUAACUCUGUCCAGGUGGAAACUGAUUCACCAUCCUAGUGAGAGCCUUUCACUCUCAUGAGUACGCUCUCUCUCCUUGCAGUUCUAUCGUAAGGGAGAUCAAGGAUCUCGUCCAUUUAAAUUUUUCUAGUGUUGUGUUUAAUUAUGCCCCGUGAUCAUGUAAUGUGGCUGCGCAUAAGUUAGCUCAAAUGGGUGUGUGCUGGGAAUUGGGUCAAGCAAGUGUGUGGGCUGACCUGUCCCUGACAUUGUACAAACUAUUGUGGAUCGUGGUAUCACUGAUCCUAGUAUUUAAUAAAGCGCGCCGGUUUAACUCAAAAAAAAAAAGAUCGCGCUCGCUCCUCCUCUCUCAGAUCGCGCCUCGCGCUCCGCCGCUGCAUCUCCGACGAUUGUCGCCUCAACCGGCAUCACCCGCCGCCGCCGAUCCGGUUUCCCGCCCUCCUCCAGGUCGCGCACCUCGCGCUCGACCUCCGCCGCGCCACCUCUCCGACGAGGCGACGACUGCCUAGUGCCUACCGCCGCCGCGUCAACCGGCAUCGCCGAUCCGGUCUCCCUCCGCUGUCCCUCCGCCGCUGAAGUCUCCUCAGACUCCGCCUCGCCGAUCCCCUCCUCCGCUGCAUGCCUGCAUGUCGCUUGACCAUCCCGCGGGGCCUACUCGCCCGCGAGCUCCUCCCCGCUGCCAUCGGACCUGCGCGGACUCCCACGACCACCACGGUGUGAGAUGACGCCGCUGGCGGCGAUUGUGUUGGCCGGUUUCUAGGAGCUCUUUGAUUCAGUCCGCCGCUCUCCAUCUUUUCCCGUCCCAGGGGCAGCACUGCAGUAUUCCUCGACGAGCAGGUUCUGCUUCGAGCGUAGAGCUUCCGGUGGGGGUUCAGGGGUGGAUUAGCAUGUGCCUUCAUGAGUCGGGAUGUCAGACGGUAGGAAUGGAGCAGGAGGAGAGGAGAACCUGCUGAUCCAGUGGAGAGAUAGCAAUCUCAUCGGGAACAGCGUGCUGAGCAGGCUUUGAUCAGAACCAGCAAUGCCACAGAGGAGAAGACCCAAGUGAGUACGUUUGUGACACAUAAGGGAGCUUAAGGAUGAAGUGAAGCUACUCAAGAACCUCUCACAUUCCAAAAUGCUUAUGGGAGGAGAACUCACUAAAUAUUCUGGUGGAGUUUAUGCUAGGAAGAUCAAUACAAUCAUUCCUUGGGAGGGUUGGGCCAUUCCAUGAGGCUGUCAUCAGGAAAUACGCUAAACAUAUUUUGCAUGGUCAGGAGUAUGUACACCGCAAUGGAAUCGUACACAUGGAUAAAAAGGCAAGC